UAGUUAGGACUAGGUGGAGACUUGUAUUUGGGAUUGGGAAUGUGUAUGGAAUGUGAUAAUAGGUUUUUAAGAUCAAUUAAUCCUAAAGCACUAUCAUGUCGUUGUAGCACUGAAGGUUGUCAAUCCAAAUGGGUGUGAUGCUAACAAUCAAGAUGUGAUCAGAAGUCACUAAGUCAAGCCAAGCAAUAACAGGUUUUGGUGUGUUCUAGCAGUCCUAAGUGAAUAUGCAGAAAACAGAAAAUCAAACAGAAACAGCAAAACACUCGACCAACACAGCUCUGUGCAGAGCAAUGGAUGAGGUCGAGUGACAGGUCGAGUAACAGGCAGAAAGUGAAACAGGGAUACUCGACUGCACAGUCUGAAGCCAGACAACUGGGUGGUCGAGUAUCAGGUCGAGUAACAGGAAAGAAUUGCAGAAACUAAGCAACAGAGAACAAGAUGCAGUAAACAACAGUAGAGUAAACAAAGAAUUCAAUCAGAUAAAGAAUUCCUAAGGAUGGGGUAAUUGAGUAAUUUCAUUUCCUCAGUUUACAGGUGAUUGACAUGCUCAAUAAAUUAACCCUAGACAACAAGUUCAUUAACCAAAUCUAAGUGCCACCGCAACAGAGACUCUCAAGCUAACCUAGUCCCAGACUCAAUCACCAUUGACGAGAGGUAACCUAACAGGCAUUACGAAUCAACAAGUUAAAGCCAAAACGCUCCCUGCAACCAAUACCUUGGUACAGGGUCACGAGUCUCUGGAAUUAGUGGUUCAGACAUUUCAUCGAACACCUUUUGGGCGCAGAAAUGUCUGGGCUCAAAUUCCAGUUGAUCAGAAAGCAAUAGGCAUUAAGAACAACUAAUCCAGAAGGGAUCUAUCAACCAAUACUCAAUCACCUAGCAUACUGAGAAUUCUACACUACUCUAACCCAUCCUUAGAAACCUAUUCACUACUCAGACAUCAUAACAGAAAGCAUAAACGUUGAACAAAUUGAAAACAUGAUAACAACAAUGUAACAACAGGAUGAUAACAGAAUGAACAACAGUAAACGAAAUCAAGAACAGAAACUGAAUACUGAAUACUGAAUAGAUAAAGAUAAAUCCGGAUUACAAAAAGUUUAGAACACAAAGUCUGCGGAAAUAAAACUAGAUAAAAACUUCUUGUCUGCGAAAAAUGAGAAGUACAUGCUACUUUUAGGCAAAUAUCCCGAAACCCUAAUACUCAAAACGACCUGGGGGUCGAGUGGUCUCUUGAGAUCUUGAAGCUCCUACUCGACCUCUUGGUCGAGUGGUUUUUCAUGAUCAGGUCCGCUUCUUCCAGAUAGCUCGUCAACAGCUCCAAAUCACCUGAAAUCAACGCAAAUAUGCAACAUGCACGCAAAACUAUCCUAAACAUGCAAAGUGAUGACAAAUGAUGUGAAAUGGUAUAAAACAGUGAUGAUAUGAUGCUAAAAUGAUGACAAAUGGAUGCUCAAAACAUGCAAAAUACACACUUAUCAACUCCCCCAAACUUAGUCUUUGCUUGCCCUCAAGCAAACAAUCAAGAACAAGCUGGAGGUGAGGUUUAAAAGCGGGGACUCAGAGCCAAAGCACCAGAUAGACCAGAUGAAAUCAAUGUCCAAGUUGGAAGUUCUAAGCUGCAAGAUCGAAUUCUACUUAAAAACGUUAGCCAUGCCUCAUCAUUCAGUCCGACUCAUAUGCUCGACCUACACAAGUUUUCAAAUCUACCAAUCCCUUUAACAUUCAUUAGUUCUGGAACGUGAAUCAAGCAAUGCAUCAUCAAAGAACUCAUUUGGCUAAGGUAAAAGGUCAAGAGACAAAGAUGGUCCCUUACAGAAUAGGCUUCAGUAACAGGGGAUCUCUCAAAAAAUGAUUAAGCUUUAGUAGAAUGCUAAAGGUAAGUCCCAAGCUAUGCAUACAGAGAUAAGAUCCCAUCUACCCAGAGUAUAUCAAAUGAAGCUCUAAUGGUAAUUCCAUCUCCAAUCCCAAUAUAAGAACUUAACUGUACCCUUUGCAUUCAUGAAUCUUUUAAGCCCUUUUCCUAAUCAUUCUUUUCUUUUCUCUUAACUCUUGGAGAAGCUUUCUCAACACUUUGUUACAUCUAGCGGAUUUGGAUUUCUUUAACAACUAAGGUUCCUGUUUUUAACAUUUUAAAACCAAGGGCUUUUGCCCAUCUUCAAUAGCUAACAAGAACUCUUUCUUUUCUUUACAAAUCCCAAAACCUUUACUAGACUUUUUCUGAUUCUUUAGCUUACUUCACCUAGAGUCUUUUACCUUUUCUUAUCAAUUAAUCAACCCCCUUUUUUUAU
rnacentral:sRNA from 1 species